UGUUAGAGAAGAACAGAAGUCUAUCAAUAUUGCAAUAACUGAGGAGAAAGAAAAUGUGGAUAAAGCAUUAACAGGAUUUGACAUCUCCUGUUACUCUUUUGGGUCAUGCUGUGAAGGAUAUCCAAUUCUUUCCACUGGGGCAAUUAAAUCAGUUAUUUUACUUCUUUGAAGAGACUAUCCAAUGCACAACAACAAUUAAGCAGGAUCCUAGCUAUCUGUUGUAACAGCUGAGAGAUGACUUAGUACCUUCCCUGAUUCGAGGAGCCAAUGUACAAACUAAUGCACAUAUCACUAAAAUCAAAACCAAUCAAAUGCCUGCUUACUAUGUUACAUCCGUGACCUCCUCCUUUUUGAGAAUCGCAAGAUCACUAUUAAGUCAGUUCAGGAGACCCAGGAAAUGAGUGAAAGACAUGCAGAAUCCACAAGGAGUUUGGAAUGUGUCCUAGCCUCUGAAAGGCGGAACCAUUGAUAACGGCUAUUGUCUCUUAGAGACGGAAUUGUGUAUUGAAUACUGUACAAUGCAUCGA